GAUUUCAGGGACAAAUAUGCCAGCAGUAUGUUUGUUUCAUCAAGCAACAGCCCUCUCAGGCACGUGAGGAUGGAACUAUGUGUCUAUUUUAUAGGUGAUUAAUACCCUUAAAGUAGCACAACGUCUGCUGAAAGCACUGGGGCCCAUCGGAGCAGGUAAACGGCUGGGAAUCACAAUCUGCAAGCCCAGCUUCAUCACCAAGAAGAAGGUGACCUUCCUGUGGAAGCAUUGCCAGCGGCCAGGAAGCUUGGAGCUCACCUGAGAGAGCAUAGUCACCUCAGGUCUCCUGAAGCUGUGUCACUGAAGCAUAUAACUACUGCAAAGAUAACAGCUGCCGAACUUAAAUUAUCACCACAUUCGCACUGUGGACGGACUACCCAUCAUGGAC